CCCCCGCCUCCGAGUCUGCACUUCAGAGCCUCCCUGUGGCCCAGAAGCUCGGCCGCGGCAUCCUUCAUCCCUGCACAGACAAGCGGAGACCAUGAGAUUUGAACAGAGCACAGUUUGUCUAGAGGAGGAAAAAGCGCAAGCACGACGGACCGACCCACCGACCGACAGACCGGGAGGGAGGGAAGCAGCAGAGACGCGUCCGGGAGUCUGCUGCGCACCCGAGAUGUGGAGGAGACUUCGUCUUUGUGUCCACGUUCUCGGAGGAAGGGGAGAUGAUGCGCAACUGGAGAUAUUUCUUAUGAUCUUUUUUUAACCCGAAUUGACAGACGAUAGAAGGUUUUAGGCAUAAAUCACGGCUUUAAAGAAUAUUUAGAAUGUUUAAUAUUUUAGAGAUGUAGCGCUGUCUGCAUUCAUGGGUUUGUUUUAUUUUACAGAUGUAUAAAUACAUUAUUAUCAGUUUAGGAUGUUUGAUUAAAUAUUAAUUUACAGAUGUCGAAAACAUUUUUUCUUUUUUAUAUCCUUCGCGUUUUUUGACGCUCUGAGAGCCUUUAAGGAUCAUUUAAAAUCAUGCACGAUGAUGGAUCGCGCCCUUCAUUUUAUGGUUUUUCAAUAGCUCUGAGUUGUUGUAGCUGUAAAAACAAAAGUGAAAGACAUGUCUUCAACAUAAGAGAGAUGAUUAGAUGUCAGCAUGUGUGACAUAUUUGCCACUAGGAAGCACAUAAAUCACCAAAAAUAUUACUUUACUGAUUCAUUUACUUUUGUUCAAUGCUAAUAAAUUUAAAAAUGCGUUUUAUUUUUAAGCUUUAUUGAAAUAAAUAGUACUAUUACGUUACACAGGCAGGAAACGUGCUUCCUGUAGUUUGACUGGUUUACUUCAUAUAUUUUCGAAGAUAAUUCAUUGAUAUUUUAAUUUAAACAUUUUAAUUGUUAUAUUUUAUUUAUUUUUUUGCCUUAUAGGGAUAAAUUUGCUAAACUGCUUACUAGUUGUAGUUACACGUAUUCUCUUUCAUUCAUAUAAUUUAAAGGCAUCUCUUAUCGCUUUAAACUGUCGACGGAUUCAGUGCGUGCGCCGCGCGUUGGACGUAGAUGACGAGGCUGUGAUUAGAGUCGGUGCAAAGCAGUUUGCUACAUCACCUCUCUUCGCUCAGAUUCCACUAACAUCCACACAAAUCUGAUCGAUGACAUGAAUAAAAAUAGACAAACAAACUAAUUCUCUUGCUGCAGGUUAAAGCGGUGCAUCUGAGUGGAAACGAGUCAUUUCUACGCGCUGUAGAGACUAAAUAAAACAUAACGUAAAAAAUGUAAUACGACUGUAGCGGCACUCUUAAAAGCAAUGCAUGACGCUUUACCGCAUGUGUGAUCGGAAGUGAUCCAGCACAGUUGGUGGUUAGUGGGACUCGAACCUGUGACCUCAUCAUGCUUUGAGUUCAGCCUAUCCAAAAUACUAGACUGAUUCUUUCGUUGCAUUCUCUCGUCCAACUUUUGUGUUCACUUAAUUACAGAUUUCUGAGGAGAAAAAAACAAUCGAUCUUCCAUCUACACAGGCCCCCGGUUUAACAAAUGAGAUUCUUGUUUCAUGCAGUUGAUUUGGUGGCAGUCAGUGGAUUAGGAGUAAUAAGUUACAGUGCUGGGGAGCGGCUGCUGCUGAGACUGUAACUCGGAUGCAGCCACGGGGUUUUGCUCCACGUUGGAGAUGCAGAACUUUGACAUGGGCACAUUUUAGCAGAUUCCACCUUAAUUAUCUUUAUAAGUAUGUCUUUAUAUGAACGUAAUACUUGAGUAAAUGUCGUCUUGUUCUUCACUGGGAUUGGCAGGUACCGGAAACCAGGUGAACUGGGAAGCAAAAAAGGUCCAGUGGAAGAGAACUGCAGAAAUACCUGUGCUGAAAUGUACUUAACUUUAGUAAGUUGAGCAUUUCCAGAUUAUUUUACACACACAUUUUAAACCUCAUAAUAAAAAAAACUUCCUGCAAGUUGACACUGGAAGCCUUUUUUCACCUUGAUUCUGGGACGAGAAGAUCUUUGCGCGCCGCUGGCGUCAGGAUGCGGUCGCUUCUUAUGCAGCCACACAUGAUGCAGCCUGCCGGGUCCUCUGGCCACAUCAACCCAGGUGCGGCGCCCCGCCGCCGCAUCUUAUGCCUCAAUUAGAGAACCUGCCCUCUGCACGGACUCGAUUAGGCCGUGAUUUAUCCGAAAGAAAUAUAAUUAUACCUCCAAAUAAAAUAAUCAGCAUUGAAGAGCGAUUUCCUUAACGAGAUGGAGCGGAGUAGAUGUCACGGAGUAGCAGCGCCUCAUUAGGGCGGUAAUGGGACUUUGGGGUGAUCCCGAUAAUUAUCGAGAUCUGUAAAAUAAGGAUCAAGUCAAAUGUAACCUUAAUUUGUCUGGCAAUUGAGUUCAUUUAUUAGCAAGACUAUUUAGGAAGGACUUUCUCAGCUUUAAUACAAGGUGCCGGUAUUUUAGGCCAUUUGGAAAACAGAUGUGCUGCGGUGACAGAGACGGGUCGUUUGUAUCAUUUAUGGCCAAAACCAACAUUAGUCAUUUGACUGACAGAGCUGCUCAAAGUGCGCCUUUCAGGUAGCAGGAUACAACCAUUCCAGCGCUGUUAAAAACAGGAAUAUCAGCAAGUACUUGAAGUGAAAUUAAACCCAUCAUUUGAAAUGAUUAAUCGAUUAGACGAUCUAAUUAUGACUAACCUCAAAUUAUUUUUGAUUAAAUGAUUAUCUUAAGCUACUUGUCAAACGAAAUUCCCAGUUCCAGCUGCCCCAAAGAGGAAAUACUGAAAUCAGCCAAUUGAUAAGUUUUUAUUUUCUGUUCUGCAGAAGCUUUGACAAUUUUCAGAAACUAAUCAAUAAAUCAAUGGAUAAACAAAUCAACUUGAAAUUUAAAUAGCUAAGUGCAGUUUUUGCGCAUCUUUAUCAAAAGGUCAAUGACAGCUAACACCCUACAAAGUGAUGGCCACAGACACCAUAGUCACCUGUGAGCAUCCAGCAAAAGGGUGGCUGUGCCGCCUGUAUCAGACUUAUAGGUUCCACCUGGGGUUGGACUGUGCCAACCUUCUUAAUGACCGUGGGCCCGGGAGGGGCAUAGAAAUUAGUUUUUUUGGUUUAUUUAUAGAUUUAUUUUUGUUAAUUUAUUGGGUUUUGUGUUGUAUUUAACAGGGGGGUAACAUGAAUUUGUGUAUUGUGUGUCUAAUGUGUUGAGUCUUUUGUAGUGUUCCCGUGUGGCUGGUGCUGGUUUGCCCUUAUUGUGUUGUGUUUUUCUGUUUGACUUACGUCCUUGUUUAUAGUUUCAUGGUUUAAAAUGGUUUAUGUUAAUCUGUUCUAGGGCCCAUUUUGAUUUAGAAUCUGUGUAGUUCUCUUGGUUUUUGUGCGGUAAAUAAACCCAUGUUUGUUUCUGACUUAUUUCUGUGUCCUGCACCUGUUUGCUGGUCCCUCAAAAUUCAUAAAAGACAAAACACGUACAUUUGUGUGUGUGUGUGUAUUUAAUCAUAUCUCCAAACUGUGUAUUAGUAUCACAAAUAAAAAUGUAGGAAAACCUCCCAGGGCUCCACCACUUCAUUUCAAUCCUAUGGGAUUUCACACAGAGGAGCACGAGCAACGUGCUGGCACCUUAACAGUAAACUUUAGAAAUAAUUACAUCAAGAACGGAGACUGAGCAGAUUCAGUUUGCCUCCAAGGUUCCAAACAAGGCCUGAAGAAAGGAAUGGACAUUUUAAGCAAGUGAUCCUCACGGUGAGAACGGACACAGAUCAGAAAUCAUCCUUCAAGCUUCACUGAGUCCAGGACGUUCUUCGCCUCUUUGAACUCCUCUGAUUCAGCUAAAUCCUCUUCUGUUU